rnacentral:rRNA from 1 species
AACGAACGCUGGCGGCAUGCCUAACACAUGCAAGUCGAACGAGACCUUCGGGUCUAGUGGCGCACGGGUGCGUAACGCGUGGGAACCUGCCCUUAGGUUCGGAAUAACUCAGAGAAAUUUGAGCUAAUACCGGAUAAUGUCUUCGGACCAAAGAUUUAUCGCCUUUGGAUGGGCCCGCGUAGGAUUAGCUUGUUGGUGGGGUAAUGGCCUACCAAGGCGACGAUCCUUAGCUGGUCUGAGAGGAUGAUCAGCCACACUGGGACUGAGACACGGCCCAGACUCCUACGGGGGGCAGCAGUGGGGAAUAUUGGACAAUGGGCGAAAGCCUGAUCCAACAAUGCCGCGUGAGUGAUGAAGGCCUUAGGGUUGUAAAGCUCUUUUACCAGGGAUGAUAAUGACAGUACCUGGAGAAUAAGCUCCGGCUAACUCCGUG